AUUGAACGCUGGCGGCAGGCCUAACACAUGCAGGUCGAGCGGAUGAAGGGAGCUUGCUCCUGGAUUCAGCGGCGGACGGGUGAGUAAUGCCUAGGAAUCUGCCUGGUAGUGGGGGAUAACGUCCGGAAACGGGCGCUAAUACCGCAUACGUCCUGAGGGAGAAAGUGGGGGAUCUUCGGACCUCACGCUAUCAGAUGAGCCUAGGUCGGAUUAGCUAGUUGGUGGGGUAAAGGCCUACCAAGGCGACGAUCCGUAACUGGUCUGAGAGGAUGAUCAGUCACAUUGAAACGGAGACACGGUCCAGACUCCUGCGGGGGGCAGAAGGGGGGAAUUUUGGAAAAUGGGCAAAAGCUUGACCCAGCCAUCCGGGGGGUGUAAGGAAGGUCUUGGUAUUGUAAAGCUCUUUAAUUGGGGAGGAAGGGCAGUAAGUAAAUACCUUCUUUUUUUGACUUUACAAAAAAAAAAAGCCCCGGCUAACUUCGUG
rnacentral:rRNA from 1 species